UGAUUUUUAUACGACCGCAAAAUUUGAAAAAAAAUUUCGUCGUAUAUUGCUAUCACGUUGGCGUCGUCGUCGUCGUCGUCGUCGUCGUCGUCGUCCGAAUACUUUUAGUUUUCGCACUCUAACUUUAGUAAAAGUGAAUAGAAAUCUAUGAAAUUUUGACACAAGGUUUAUGACCACAAAAGAACGGUUGGGAUUGAUUUUGGGAGUUUUGGUUUCAACAGUUUAGGAAUUAGGGGCCAAAAAAGGGCCCAAAUAAGCAUUAUUCUUGGUUUUCGCACAAUAACUUUAGUUUAAGUAAAUAGAAAUCAAUGAAAUUUAAACACAAUGUUAAUGACUACAAAAGGAAGGUUAUUAUAGAUUUUGGGAGUUUAGGUCCCAACAGUUUAGGAAUUAGGGGCCAAAAAGGAACCCAAAUAAGCAUUUUUCUUGGUUUUCGCACCAUAACGUUAGUAUAAGUAAAUAGAAAUCUAUGAAAUUUAAACACAAGGUUUAUGACCAUAAAAGGAAGGUUGGUAUUUAUUUUGGGAGUUUUGGUCCCAACAGAAUAAGGGGCCCAAAGGGUCCAAAAUUAAACUUUGUUUGAUUUCAUCAAAAUUGAAUAAUUGGGGUUCUUCGAUAUGCCGAAUCUAACUGUCAUGACUGUGUAUGUAGAUUCUUAACUUUUGGUCCCGUUUUCAAAUUGGUCUACAUUAAGGUCCAAAGGGUCCAAAAUUAAACUUAGUUUGAUUUUGACAAAAAAUGAAUCAGUUAAGUUCUUUGAUAUGCUGAAUCUAAAAAUGUACUUAGAUUCUUGAUUAUUGGCCCAGUUUUUAAGUUGGUCCAAAUCGGGGUCCAAAAUUAAACUUUGUUUGAUUUCAUCAGAAAUUGAAUAAAUGGGGUUCUUUGAUAUACCAAAUCUAACUGUGUAUGUAGAUUCUUCAUUUUUGGUCCUGUUUUCAAAUUGGUCUACACUAAAGUCCAAAGGGUCCAAAAUUAAACUUAGUCUGAUUUUUAACAAAAAUUGAAAUCUUGGGGUUCUUUGAUAUGCUGAAUCCAAAAACGUACUUAGAUUUUUUUAUUAUUUGCCCAGUUUUCAAGUUGGUCCAAAUCAGGAUCUAAA
rnacentral:lncRNA from 1 species